GGGACACGUGGUAUCCUGUCUGAAUAUGGGGGGACCAUCCUCCAAGGCUAAAUACUCCUGACUGACCGAUAGUGAACCAGUACCGUGAGGGAAAGGCGAAAAGAACCCCGGCGAGGGGAGUGAAAAAGAACCUGAAACCGUGUACGUACAAGCAGUGGGAGCACGCUUAGGCGUGUGACUGCGUACCUUUUGUAUAAUGGGUCAGCGACUUAUAUUCUGUAGCAAGGUUAACCGAAUAGGGGAGCCGAAGGGAAACCGAGUCUUAACUGGGCGUUAAGUUGCAGGGUAUAGACCCGAAACCCGGUGAUCUAGCCAUGGGCAGGUUGAAGGUUGGGUAACACUAACUGGAGGACCGAACCGACUAAUGUUGAAAAAUUAGCGGAUGACUUGUGGCUGGGGGUGAAAGGCCAAUCAAACCGGGAGAUAGCUGGUUCUCCCCGAAAGCUAUUUAGGUAGCGCCUCGUGAAUUCAUCUCCGGGGGUAGAGCACUGUUUCGGCAAGGGGGUCAUCCCGACUUACCAACCCGAUGCAAACUGCGAAUACCGGAGAAUGUUAUCACGGGAGACACACGGCGGGUGCUAACGUCCGUCGUGAAGAGGGAAACAACCCAGAC
rnacentral:rRNA from 1 species